rnacentral:lncRNA from 1 species
GAUAAGAUGUAAUUGUAAAUGUCAAUAACACCAUUCAUCCAUAGUUUCUCAAAACCAAUUGAAUCAACUGGAUUUGCAUGUUUAUUUUUGUUCUUUGCAUAUAACCACCAAAUUAAUUCUUUUCUCAAGUCUUACACGAUUUGUUUACAUGAAAAGUAAGGUCUAAGAGUCCUUUCGGAAGAACGAUAUUGGGUUUAUUAAUUAUAUUACUUGAUAACGA